rnacentral:rRNA from 1 species
GAUGAACGCUGGCGGCGUGCCUAAUACAUGCAAGUCGAGCGAACAGAUGAGGAGCUUGCUCCUCUUACGUUAGCGGCGGACGGGUGAGUACCACGUGGCUAACCUACCUAUAAGACUGAGAUAACUUCGGGAAACCUGAGCUAAUACCGGAUAAUAUAUUGAACCGCAUGGUUCAAUAGUGAAAGACGGUUUUGCUGUCACUUAUACAUGGUUCCGCGCCGCAUUAGCUAGUUGGUACGGUAACGGCUUACCAAGGCGACGAUGCGUAGCCGACCUGAGAGGGUGAUCGGCCACACUGGAACUGAGACACGGUCCAGACUCCUACGGGAGGCAGCAGUAGGGAAUCUUCCGCAAUGGGCGAAAGCCUGACGGAGCAACGCCGCGUGAGUGAUGAAGGUCUUCGGAUCGUAAAGCUCUGUUAGUAGGGAAGAACAAAUGUGUAAGUAACUAUGCACGUCUUGACGGUACCUAAACAGAAAGCCACGGCUAACUACGUG